rnacentral:rRNA from 3 species
UUAAGCGACUAAGCGUACACGGUGGAUGCCCUGGCAGUCAGAGGCGAUGAAGGACGUGCUAAUCUGCGAUAAGCGUCGGUAAGGUGAUAUGAACCGUUAUAACCGGCGAUUUCCGAAUGGGGAAACCCAGUGUGAUUCGUCACACUAUCAUUAACUGAAUCCAUAGGUUAAUGAGGCGAACCGGGGGAACUGAAACAUCUAAGUACCCCGAGGAAAAGAAAUCAACCGAGAUUCCCCCAGUAGCGGCGAGCGAACGGGGAGCAGCCCAGAGCCUGAAUCAGUAUGUGUGUUAGUGGAAGCGUCUGGAAAGGCGCGCGAUACAGGGUGACAGCCCCGUACACAAAAAUGCACAUGCUGUGAGCUCGAUGAGUAGGGCGGGACACGUGGUAUCCUGUCUGAAUAUGGGGGGACCAUCCUCCAAGGCUAAAUACUCCUGACUGACCGAUAGUGAACCAGUACCGUGAGGGAAAGGCGAAAAGAACCCCGGCGAGGGGAGUGAAAAAGAACCUGAAACCGUGUACGUACAAGCAGUGGGAGCACGCUUAGGCGUGUGACUGCGUACCUUUUGUAUAAUGGGUCAGCGACUUAUAUUCUGUAGCAAGGUUAACCGAAUAGGGGAGCCGAAGGGAAACCGAGUCUUAACUGGGCGUUAAGUUGCAGGGUAUAGACCCGAAACCCGGUGAUCUAGCCAUGGGCAGGUUGAAGGUUGGGUAACACUAACUGGAGGACCGAACCGACUAAUGUUGAAAAAUUAGCGGAUGACUUGUGGCUGGGGGUGAAAGGCCAAUCAAACCGGGAGAUAGCUGGUUCUCCCCGAAAGCUAUUUAGGUAGCGCCUCGUGAAUUCAUCUCCGGGGGUAGAGCACUGUUUCGGCAAGGGGGUCAUCCCGACUUACCAACCCGAUGCAAACUGCGAAUACCGGAGAAUGUUAUCACGGGAGACACACGGCGGGUGCUAACGUCCGUCGUGAAGAGGGAAACAACCCAGACCGCCAGCUAAGGUCCCAAAGUCAUGGUUAAGUGGGAAACGAUGUGGGAAGGCCCAGACAGCCAGGAUGUUGGCUUAGAAGCAGCCAUCAUUUAAAGAAAGCGUAAUAGCUCACUGGUCGAGUCGGCCUGCGCGGAAGAUGUAACGGGGCUAAACCAUGCACCGAAGCUGCGGCAGCGACGCUGAUGCGUUGUUGGGUAGGGGAGCGUUCUGUAAGCCUGUGAAGGUGUGCUGUGAGGCAUGCUGGAGGUAUCAGAAGUGCGAAUGCUGACAUAAGUAACGAUAAAGCGGGUGAAAAGCCCGCUCGCCGGAAGACCAAGGGUUCCUGUCCAACGUUAAUCGGGGCAGGGUGAGUCGACCCCUAAGGCGAGGCCGAAAGGCGUAGUCGAUGGGAAACAGGUUAAUAUUCCUGUACUUGGUGUUACUGCGAAGGGGGGACGGAGAAGGCUAUGUUGGCCGGGCGACGGUUGUCCCGGUUUAAGCGUGUAGGCUGGUUUUCCAGGCAAAUCCGGAAAAUCAAGGCUGAGGCGUGAUGACGAGGCACUACGGUGCUGAAGCAACAAAUGCCCUGCUUCCAGGAAAAGCCUCUAAGCAUCAGGUAACAUCAAAUCGUACCCCAAACCGACACAGGUGGUCAGGUAGAGAAUACCAAGGCGCUUGAGAGAACUCGGGUGAAGGAACUAGGCAAAAUGGUGCCGUAACUUCGGGAGAAGGCACGCUGAUAUGUAGGUGAAGCGACUUGCUCGUGGAGCUGAAAUCAGUCGAAGAUACCAGCUGGCUGCAACUGUUUAUUAAAAACACAGCACUGUGCAAACACGAAAGUGGACGUAUACGGUGUGACGCCUGCCCGGUGCCGGAAGGUUAAUUGAUGGGGUCAGCGCAAGCGAAGCUCUUGAUCGAAGCCCCGGUAAACGGCGGCCGUAACUAUAACGGUCCUAAGGUAGCGAAAUUCCUUGUCGGGUAAGUUCCGACCUGCACGAAUGGCGUAAUGAUGGCCAGGCUGUCUCCACCCGAGACUCAGUGAAAUUGAACUCGCUGUGAAGAUGCAGUGUACCCGCGGCAAGACGGAAAGACCCCGUGAACCUUUACUAUAGCUUGACACUGAACAUUGAGCCUUGAUGUGUAGGAUAGGUGGGAGGCUUUGAAGUGUGGACGCCAGUCUGCAUGGAGCCGACCUUGAAAUACCACCCUUUAAUGUUUGAUGUUCUAACGUUGACCCGUGAUCCGGGUUGCGGACAGUGUCUGGUGGGUAGUUUGACUGGGGCGGUCUCCUCCUAAAGAGUAACGGAGGAGCACGAAGGUUGGCUAAUCCUGGUCGGACAUCAGGAGGUUAGUGCAAUGGCAUAAGCCAGCUUGACUGCGAGCGUGACGGCGCGAGCAGGUGCGAAAGCAGGUCAUAGUGAUCCGGUGGUUCUGAAUGGAAGGGCCAUCGCUCAACGGAUAAAAGGUACUCCGGGGAUAACAGGCUGAUACCGCCCAAGAGUUCAUAUCGACGGCGGUGUUUGGCACCUCGAUGUCGGCUCAUCACAUCCUGGGGCUGAAGUAGGUCCCAAGGGUAUGGCUGUUCGCCAUUUAAAGUGGUACGCGAGCUGGGUUUAGAACGUCGUGAGACAGUUCGGUCCCUAUCUGCCGUGGGCGCUGGAGAACUGAGGGGGGCUGCUCCUAGUACGAGAGGACCGGAGUGGACGCAUCACUGGUGUUCGGGUUGUCAUGCCAAUGGCACUGCCCGGUAGCUAAAUGCGGAAGAGAUAAGUGCUGAAAGCAUCUAAGCACGAAACUUGCCCCGAGAUGAGUUCUCCCUGACUCCUUGAGAGUCCUGAAGGAACGUUGAAGACGACGACGUUGAUAGGCCGGGUGUGUAAGCGCAGCGAUGCGUUGAGCUAACCGGUACUAAUGAACCGUGAGGCUUAACCUU